UGCCAGCAGCCGCGGUAAUACGGAGGGGGUUAGCGUUGUUCGGAAUUACUGGGCGUAAAGCGUACGUAGGCGGAUUAGUCAGUCAGAGGUGAAAUCCCAGGGCUCAACCCUGGAACUGCCUUUGAUACUGCUAGUCUUGAGUUCGAGAGAGGUGAGUGGAAUUCCAAGUGUAGAGGUGAAAUUCGUAGAUAUUUGGAGGAACACCAGUGGCGAAGGCGGCUCACUGGCUCGAUACUGACGCUGAGGUGCGAAAGUGUGGGGAGCAAACAGGAUUAGAUACCCUGGUAGUCCACACCGUAAACGAUGAAUGCCAGUCGUCGGGCAGUAUACUGUUCGGUGACACACCUAACGGAUUAAGCAUUCCGCCUGGGGAGUACGGUCGCAAGAUUAAAACUCAAAUGAAUUGACGGGG
rnacentral:rRNA from 1 species